GAGCCCUCGCCGGAUUCUGCAAAAUUCUGCAAAUUUUCCGACCACCGAAGCUUUCGAUCGGUAUAUCUCGAGCUACAGACCAUAUUUUUCUGUGAUUCUUGAACCAAUGCGUUCGUCUUGAGUUUCUUAACAACUCUCUAGAAGGAAUCGAAGCCUGAAAUUGAAGUUUUGACGUCGAAAUCAAGCCUUGCCGGAUUCUGCAAAUUUCGCCGGAUUCUGGAAAUUUUCCGGCCACCUCGACUGUUCUAGGUUAUUGACGGUUUGAGUUGGUGGACGAUUGUGGAUCGUAUUUUGAGCUGAAUUGAAGACGCAGCGGGAUUAUCGAGCGGGAAAUCCUACAGGUCAGGAGAACCAGGACGGUGAUCGGGCUGCUUAGAGUAGUGUUAUGUGAAUUACAGCAUUAUAUUGUGAGGUUUGUUAUGCUCAUUUAGAGCUUUGCAAUUUUACUUUGUAAGAGUGAAUUGUAAUAAUUAACUCGAGGUUUUCGAGUUUUUGUGUUGAGUGGCGAGUGGUAUGUUUGUUUGUGAGAAAAAAAUUCAGAACGUUAUUUGUAUUAAUUGUUUAUUCAUGUUUCGGAUUUGAAUUGGUUAUUCAAAAUUCGGGGCGUGACAGUUUGGUAUCAGAGCGUAAGGUACAUAUUUGGUGACGUGUCAAUACCUUCCGAGUGAUGGCCCGUCUGCAGCGGAUCCCCAUCGUGCGCUCUUCGGUAUUGGCUAAGUCAUUGGGUAUGUGUGAGUGUUGGAAGUUGUUUAGGCCGCUAAGUCGUUUUAGGAACGUUAACACCUUCCCUGUAGUAUUGACUUGGUUAAUAUGGACUUGUAUUUGACUUAUACUGUGUUUUAAGUGUUAUACGUGUAUUAGCCAAGCAUACUAUAUUUCUUAGGUGUUGAAUAUUCGAAGGAGUAGUACUUAGAACUACAGAGUUGUCUUGUAGGUUCGUAUUUGAAUAAGUUCAGUUACCGCGAGUUAUAAUCUUUAAGGGAUGGAAACCUUCGGAUUUAACUCUAUUGAGUUAGGGUGAUUGUUUUAUGGAAGUGAGGUUCUUUUGGAUGUUGAGGUGUUUGGUUGAAGGCAUGAUGUUGGCCUAUGCACGUACCUAGUGUGGAUACGAGUAUGAAUUGAUGGAAUUUUUGCCUUAUUAGGUUGGAUAUACAGAUGUUUUUGAUUUGAUUCUUGACUCAUGUGGAGUGGUGGGUAGUAUUGCGGUUUGGGAAUGAAUUAUUGUGGUUAAUUCUUCCAUGUGUUUGUAAGUUGAUGAGCAGGGUUUAAGUUGUGAGAAAGGAGUUUGAUCUCGUGUUUGAGUGAUUGAGACGAACGACUAUAUAUUUGAGGUUGUUUUGUGUUUUAAGUUUAUGUAGACGGGACACUUAAAGUUUUGAAAUAGAGUUUGAUUUUUAGUUGAUAGAUAAUGGGGAGAAUUAGAAUCAACUCUUUGUUAAUGAUCUUGGACGAGAGUGUGUUUCUAUGGUUAUGGAUUUUAGGUGAAAUGGUUAAAUACAAUUUUGGGUAUUGAUGAUAGUGACAUGAUUGGGUAUCCAUAGUGGUUCAAGUGAAUUACUAUGCGGUAUGGAGUUGAUUCGACGUAUGAAUCGUGAAAUCUUAGGGUUGAAUUAUGGUAAGUUUGAUGGAGCAUGUUUUAGAGGGAAUGGUUGAGAUUUUAUAAGACUAGCACGAGUAACUCUAAGGAUGUGAGUUUUCCUAGUUAACUCAGGAAGUGUUUAGCUUUAUUAAUCCCUAAUUCUAGCGACGAAAUUAUUGUGUUUGGUUUGACUCAGAGGAUACUAGCUUGACCUCUGUGCAACUUAAUUGAUUGUUUGUGAUAAAUCAUUAUGAAAGAUGUGUGCAGUAGAGUUGUUUAUGGUUUUGAAAACAG